AGCGAAGCUAGUUGUAUUAUUAGUUAAUGCAAGAUCGACUACGUCGACUAAAGUUCUAGGUAGAAUAAUGAUGAUGACAAUUUUUUACCUAUAUGUCUUGACCAAGUCUCGUGCCAGCAGUCGCGGUAAUACGUGGAAGACUAGUGUUAUUCAUCUUUAUUAGGUUUAAAGGGUACCUAGACGGUAUUUCUAGCCCAAAAUAGGGUACGGAUUUACUAGAGUUUUAUGUGAGGAGGGGAGUACUCGUGGAGUAGAGAUGAAAUUUUGUUAUACUAUGAGGUAACUGGUGGCGGCGAAAGCAACCUUCUAUGUAUAAACUGACGUUGAGGGACGAAGGCUUGGGUAGCAAAUAGGAUUAGAUACCCUAGUAGUCCAAGCAGACAAUUCUGAAUGCCAUAGAUUAGAUUAUUUUUGGUCUAUAAAUGAAAGUGUAAGCAUUCCACCUUAGGAGUAAUGUGGCAACACAGGAACUGAAAUCAUUAGACCGUUUCUGAAACCAGUAGUGAAGUAUGUUAUUUAAUAGAUGGUCCACAAAAAACCUUACCACAACUUGAAUAAUUUAUAGCUCAUACAAGCGUUGCACGGCUGUCUUCAGUUAAUGUCGUGAGAUUAUGUUAACUCCAUUAAUUAACGUAAACCCUUACUUU
rnacentral:rRNA from 1 species